GGGGCCAUAGCUCAGCUGGGAGAGCGCCUGCUUUGCAAGCAGGAGGUCGCCGGUUCGAUCCCGGCUGGCUCCACCA
rnacentral:tRNA from 1 species